rnacentral:lncRNA from 1 species
CAGAAGGGGCAAAAGGAGGCUUGGACAAAAAACAAUCUACAGAUGAUCGCAAAGAUUUGUUUGAAGAGAAUUUUAAAGAACUGAAGAAAUGGGUUGAUGUGAAGUCAGCUAAAUAUGGAAUCCUCUUAGUAACACGAGAGAGGCGAGCUCAAAGGCUUGGGACAGCAUUGAAGGUAUUUAUUUAUUUUAAGUCUUGCAUCGGUUGCUGCAUGUAACUAACUAAUAAUAUCUUAUGGCACUGUGUCUACUUGGGUACGACACCCGGCCCUAUUGUUUGAUCCUAGGUGAGAUUUAUUAAGUAGUCUGUCACGUAUCAUCAAUAUUUUAAGACUGGACUAAUUGUCGAAUUAGCAAAGGGACAUCAAUGGUUUAACCAUAGUUAAACUAGUGCAAUAUAAAUAUUUUUAAUUUUAUUAUAUAUUACAGUAAUAAACUAAUAUAUUAAUAAAAGAAUACUGAUUUAUAUUUAAUCAUGAACAGGAAUCAUACCUUAAAAUGAGUUCAAACAUGUUUUAAAGCCAUAUUAGCCAGUCCUUUGAAAAAAAAAAAGGUAAAAACUAGAAAGAAUGUCUCCUGGUUUUACGGACGAUAUCCUUUGAAAAGAGAAAAAAAUAAAAGCUCAAAAGGAUGUCGUCUGGUUUUGUGGUAUGAAUCGGACACUCAAGAGAGUCAGUUUUUAGGUCUUGGGUGAAAUUGACUCGUAUGAUCAGUCCUUUUCAUCAUUGCGUAUUUUCCUAGUCACAAAACUUAAUGAGAUAGGUGAUUAUAAUUAUUAUUAGGCAAUCUAUAAUAAUGAAGUUACUCUUGCGUGUCUUCAAUGCAAGAUAGGUUUUAUUUUGUUGAUCAUAGGUUAUAAGUGUAAAGGGACUUUGGGUUAGGUAAAUCACCAACAGCUUCUGAAGCUCUUGUCCCUCGAUUCAGGUACUGUGUGACAUAAUUCAAGAUGAUGCAGAGCCUGCCAAAAAGAAAUUCUACGAUCUGAAACUGUCUUUGCUUGAUGAGAUUGGAUGGACACAUUUAGCUACAUACGAGAGACAGUGGAUGCAUGUGCGUUUCCCUCCAAGCUUGCCUCUUUUCUAGGAGUUUGGAACUUUGUCCUUUCCUUCAAUAUUUAGCAUUUAAGGAUAAUUUAUGUAAAAUUAUUACUCCUUUUACUGUGUG